rnacentral:rRNA from 1 species
AGUAACACGUAAGGAAUCUACCUAUAANCGGGGGAUAACAUUCGGAAACGGGUGCUAAUACCGCAUAAUAUCUUCUUCCGCAUGGAAGAAGAUUGAAAGACGGCUCUGCUGUCACUUAUAGAUGACCUUGCGGUGCAUUAGUUAGUUGGUGGGGUAACGGCCUACCAAGACGAUGAUGCAUAGCCGACCUGAGAGGGUGAUCGGCCACAUUGGGACUGAGACACGGCCCAAACUCCUACGGGAGGCAGCAGCC